GCCAUUUAACUUUUUUUCUUAUAAAAGUAGAUGCACCACUGCACAAUCCGGCCGCCACGUACAGCCAGGACCACCCCCGCAGCGCGGCGUGAGUGAUACGUUUAGGGUGUGUUUAGUUCCAGGGAUAAAAUGGUUGAGAUAGAUCGUAACAAACCUAUUCGAACCCAUUCCUCAGGUUUGCCUCGUUCUCCCCUUCUCCCUCUCCUCCCUCAUCUGUACAUGGCGGCACCGGCGGGGGAGGGCGCAAGUGGCCAUGGCUGGCGGGGGAGGGCGCAGGUGGCGGCGGGGUUUGGCGCACGUGGCCGCCGAGGAGGGCGAAGGGUGGCGCCGGGGUUGGGCACAGGUGGCCGCCGGGGAGGAUUGCACACGAGGCUGAUUUUCUGGAUUUUGUGCUUGGUUCAGAUCUUGUGCUUGCUGUGAAUUUGUGCUUGAUGUAGAUUUUGAUGCAUAUUCAGAACAUGAAGCCUCUCUAAUUUUUGUUCACAUAUUGUUUUUUUCAGCAUCCCCAACAACUCAUCUAUCCCACUGAAAAUAGAGGAUAAAGACUACAAAUUAAGCUCCAAUAGAAUGGUCAUCCUCUCAUCUAUUUAUGGAUGUCAUCCAAAGAGAUAUAGAGGAUAUGAUACAUGGAUGAUCUGUUAGAGUACAACAAGAUAUGAAGGAUGAAAAUGUUUUAGAUGAUCAUCUAAAUGAAGAUAUAAAUGAUUAAAUUUAGAUGAGCUGUUGGGAUGCUCAUAGAGGCUGCUCUUGCUCUUUUAUGGAUGGAUGAGGAGCAUGCUUUUAAUUUUUUUCCGCACCAUGUAUUGUAGAUGUAUCGUGUCAUGGGAUAAAUGCUUUUAAUUUGUGUUGUAAUUGUAUGCAUUAUUUGUGGUUAUAGUUAAUGGUAAAGCGUAUCCA
rnacentral:lncRNA from 1 species